rnacentral:rRNA from 1 species
UACGUAGGGGGCAAGCGUUAUCCGGAUUUACUGGGUGUAAAGGGAGCGUAGACGGUGAUGCAAGUCAGAAGUGAAAGCCCGGGGCUCAACUCCGGGACUGCUUUUGAAACUGGAGGCCUUGAGUGCACACAGGGAUGCCGGAAUUCAUGGUGUAGCGGUGAAAUGCUUAGAUAUCAUGAAGAACUCCGAUCGCGAAGGCAAGUGUCCGGGGUGCAACUGACGCUGAGGCUCGAAAGUGCGGGUAUCAAACAGG